AAGGUGAGAUUUUGGGGUAUUUAUCAGAAAUAAAUAUUAAAGAUAUCUAAUUCCUGUUAGACUGGAAGAGGAUCCUCUGUGUUUCACAUACUGUUUAAAGAUUACUACUGCACCAUUUCUUCUUUUGUUAUUUCACUUUUAAAUGUUGCAAUCAUUUAUUUAUUUUUACAGCCUGUAUUUGAAAGUAGUAUCUAAAUAUUAGUAACAAAUGUUUGAGGGAGCGUUGCAGAUCACAUUUAAUUUCUUGGUUACAAUGUUUUAACAGGUUUGUAAACUUUCUACAUCAGAAAUGAUAGUUAUUGAUACACAAGAGGAUUUGCUGGCGAAAGAGUUAACAGCACUCAAAACCACCAAAAGAUUGUUAUGGCUUUUACUUCAAAGAAGAGAACAGAAACAGAUAGGCAGUGAAAACAUUGAUGCUUUGAUACAGAAGUUAAGUGAAAAUGAAACCCACAAUACUGUCCCUGUACUGAAAGAAGACAAUCUGUCAAGACCUGUAAAUGCAAUUGAAGCUCAUCUGCAGUAUCAGAUUCAAAGAAAAGAAGUGGAAAAUGAUGAAUUAAAGCUGAAAACGCAGGUCAACAUAUUUUCAUGUGUUUUAAAUUUAAAGGCAAAUUAA
rnacentral:lncRNA from 1 species